UUUAAUCCAAUCUGAUACCCUGUGUCUUUUGAUUGGAGCAUUAUGUUCAGAGUAACUAUUGUAAGAUAUUAAUUUAGUGCCAUUGUAUUACCUGUAACACUGCUGUUUCUGUAGAUUAUCUCUGUUCCUUCCUGAGCUUUGUUACUUUGGGGCUCUCUUUUCACUCAAAGGAUCCCCUUUAAUAUUUCUUGUGGGGCUGGUUUAGUGUUCAUGAAUUCUUUUAAUUUUUCUUUGUCCUGGAAACUCUUUAUCUCUCCUUCUAUUCUGAAUGGCAGCUUUGCUGGAUAAAGUAUUCUGGGCUGCAUUUUUUUCCCCUUUAGCACAUUGAAUAUAUCAUGCCAGUCCUUUCUGAUCUGCCAGGUCUCGUGGACAAGUCUGUUGCCAGCCUUAUGUUUCUACCCUUAUAGGUUAGAGACCUCUUGUCUCAAGCUACUUUCAUGAUUUUCUCUUUAUCUCUGAAAUUUGCAAGCUUCACUAUUCUGUGUUGGGGUGUUGACCUAUUUUAUUGAUUUUGAGGGGGGUUCUCUGUGCCUCCUGGACUUGAAUGCCUGUUUCCUUCCCCAGAUUAGGGAAGUUCUCAGCUGUAAUUUGUGUUCAAAUAAGCCUCCUGCCCCCCUUCAUCUUCUGGGACCCCUAUUAUUUGAAUAUUAUUUCACUCUGUGGUCUCACUGAUUUCUCAAAGUCUCCCUUUGUGAUCCAGUACUUGUUUCUCUCUUUUUCUCAGCUUCCUUGGUUUCCAUCAUUUGAUCUUCUAUAUCACUGACACUCUCUUCUGCCUUGUUUAUCCAGGCUGUGAGACCUUCUCUUUUUAACUGCAUCUCAAUAAUAGCAUUUUUUAUAUUCACCCGAUUAGAUUUUAAUUCUUUUAUUUCUACAAUAAGGGAUUCUCUGCUGUCUUCUAUGCUUUUUUCCAAGCAUAUUUCUUUAUAAUCAUUGUUUUGAAUUUCACUGCAACAUCUUACUUAUAUCCAUAUUGAUUAAAUCCCUGGCAGCAAGUAGUACUUUCUCCUGUCCUUUCUUUUGGGGUGAGUGAGUUUCUCCAUCUCAAAAUUAUGUCCAAAAAGAAUAGAAGAAAGAGAGAGAAAGACAAAAAUAACAACAGCAUCACCAGAAAAUACAAACAGGACUAACCAGAAGAAAACAGAAACAAAACGAAAUAAGAAACCAAACAAGAAGUAAAACAAACAAAACAAUAAACUAGAUCCUGGGUAUGUUUUGGCUUGUUUGUUAAGAGAAACUAGAUCUCAAACUAGGAAAGAAAGGAAAACAUAUAAGUAUAUAUGUUUAUACAUACAGACUCCAAAAUACAGUAAAAUACAAUGAAAGGAAAACAAAAACUAAAAAUGUAUAUAUUAAAACAAUUUUAAAGACUUGAACAGAGAAUUGGAAAAAUAAGAAACUAGCUGAAAAACAAUAAAACCAAAAGAUUAAAGAAUAAUUUUUUAAAACCAUGAAUGAUAUAUCCUGUUUUCCGCAAAAGCUGAACUUUUGCAAUCUCUAUGAUCGGUAAACUUGGUGCUAAUGAGUUGUUCCUGCUGGUCUUCUGGGGGAGGGGCCUAUUGCACUGAUUCUCAGGUGUCCUUGCCUGGGUAGAAUUGCACCCCCCUUACCAGGGGGCUGGGCUCAGCAUAAGCAACUCUGGAUUACACUAUGUGACUCAAUCACUCUUGUCUCCCUGGUUUUCAUCCGAACUCUUUGUUCACCCAGCCUGUGACCGAGUGUUUUAUCUCAGGCACAUGACCCAGUUUUGAGUCUCCAAAUGUUAUGGACUCCCAUGGCACAGACCCACGCCAUUCCUCCCAAGAAAGGGGCGGGGGUGUCUGGCCCAGCUUCCGCCUUUUGCUGGGCCCCUGCCCAGGGCACAAAAGUAGGACCGUGCAGCAGUUCACAGUUUAUGACAACACACAGCAGAAAGCCAGCUCCUGGACUCGCUGCUUUCAGCCAGCUUCCGAGCUCCCAUGUCUGGAAACUCUGCCACACUCAGGCGCCUCCGUUCUUCUGGUGACCCCGGGGAUCCUGAGGCCAUGCUGUCCGACCUGGUUUUCCACCCUGCUUCUCCACCUGAGCACCCUCAAGCCAGGGGUGUCCUCUAUUGUAGCAGACUUCUAAAAGUUCUGAUUUUGUGCCCUACUGCUUAUAAUACUUUGCGGUAGCCUCCUCACGCAAGUUCCCACCCCUCUGCCCUAUAUCUUCCCAUGUAUUGCCCCGGAUCACGUCUCCUCACCUCUUACCUUCCAAAAAGUGGUCACUUUUCUGUUUGUAGAAUUGCAGCAAUUCUUUUCUCAGAUCUCUGGUUGAUUUUGCAGGUGUUCAGAAAGAUUUGGUAACUAUCUAGCUGAAUUCCAGGGACCAGACAAAAAUUAAGGUCCCCUACUCCUCUGCCAUCUUAACUCCUCCUCUGUGAUUUCCUUUGGAUGAGGUUCCUCAAAUAGUCAAGUUCAUGGAGGCAGAGUAGAAUAGAGCUCUACUAGAAUAGGGCUGGGGGAAAGAGUAACGGGGAAGUUAUUGUCUAAUGGGUGCAGAGUUUCAGUUUGGCAUGAUGACAGGUUCUGGAAAUGGAUGGUGCUGAUGACCACACAACAGUGUGAAUGUACAUAAUGCCACCGACCUGUACACUUAAAAAUGGCCAGGAUGGUUAGUUUUAUGUUAUGUAUAUUUGACUGAGGGAGCAAAACAGCUGUAUAUGUGCAGCACCAGUGCAGUAAUCAUCAGUUUCUCCAUAGAAAUCACCUGUGUGCCAUUGCCAGUCACAAAGCCUCCUGCUUCAGAGAUAAUCAUGAUCCUGUCUCUUAUGAGGAACUUCAUUCAAAUAGCCUGUCCUGACCUUUGUUUCCUGCCUUCAACCUCUUCUUGCAGUCAUAGGACAGCAACUAAAAAACAAAGUUCAUUCAACUUACAACUUGCAUAUUUGCUAAAUUUUUCUAAAGUUUGAUGCAUUAGAAGAGGGACUCAGCAAGUGUAUCAUCAGGGACUGAUGCUCAGGAACUUCCCUGAGACUCAGAACACUCAACAUGAAGCAACACUGCACCCGAGCAAGGUUUUGGCAAGUGGCAUUCAUAGAAGUUACCCUCCUAUUUUAAAGUCCUUCACUUGGUCAACAUUUACUGAGCACCUACAGUGAGCUGGGACCUCAGAGCUGAAUAAGAUAAAACCUGACACUCCAUGACGUCAGGAUGUAAUAGGGGGAAAGGCACUUUCAUUGGUAACAAGUACACAGUCUGGUGGGUUCACGAUAGUGAUCAAGCACCCGUCUGGUAUGGCUUUAGUUUCCUCAGAGUCACUGAGGAAGAAGCCAUGUUGUGGGCACAUAAAGGACAUAUCGAUUGUCUUUAAAGUCACUUGUCACUUUUUUUUUUUUUUUUUUUGAAGGAAGGGCUCAUGAAGCAGUGGGGAAUGUAGAUUCAGUUGUACAUUGGGCAAGACACCUGUUGCUAACUCUAGAGCAGAACUCUUUGGGGUCUGUUUCCUCUUUUAGAAGAUGGAGGUCUCAGAGGACAGAUGGGAGGAUAAAAUUAAGACAACAAAUGUGAAGUGUUUAGCACAGUGUCUUGGAUAGAAUGGGAUUCUUAUUGUUAUAUAUGCUUUAUGAUCUCUCUACAUAGAUUUACCAAUUUUAUGUGUUACCUAUAAUUUGAGAGUUUCCCAUGGUUUACCAGUGAGUAAAUAUCACCUUUAAUAUAGAAAUUAAGAAAUCAAGAGAAUAAACAAAAGUCAAACAUGAAUUCAACACUGUGUAUAUGUCCCCUGGCCUCUGUUGCCCAGACUACCCCAUACAGCUGGAUCCCUGAUUCAGCUGCAGCCUGUUCCAGUGAGCCUCAAUAUAGAAAAAUCCCCAAUUACUAAGCUGCAUCAGAACUGAAGUGAUGCUUCAUCCAAACAUUGUCUUUUAUUUAUUUCAACUUACCUCUAUUUCAUGAAUAGAAACUGUCAUGGCAAAUUAGAGUACUCAAAAGAUAAUGUUCCUAAAAUAAUGCAUUUAUGUGACUUGGUUGAAUAAUCUCAGGAUAGUAAUAAUAUAGGUACAAUAAUUGUGUCAAACAAUGUAGAUGGAAGAUGGUAUGCCCUGAAAAAUAAUUUUAGCUCAGAAAUUGACCCAAGUGACGCAAGAUAUUUAUAGCAAUGAUUCAUGAGAAGAGCUUAAAUAAAAUGGU